rnacentral:rRNA from 1 species
UACGUAGGGGGCAAGCGUUGUCCGGAUUUAUUGGGCGUAAAGAGCGUGUAGGCGGCCAGACAGGUCCGUUGUGAAAACUCGAGGCUCAACCUCGAGAUGUCGAUGGAAACCGUCUGGCUAGAGUCCGGAAGAGGAGUGUGGAAUUCCUGGUGUAGCUGUGAAAUGCGCAGAUAUCAGGAAGAACACCUAUGGCGAAGGCAGCACUCUGGGACGGUACUGACGCUGAGACGCGAAAGCGUGGGGAGCGAACAGG